AGAGUCACUCCUACGGGAGGCAGCAGUGGGGAAUUGUUCGCAAUGGGCGCAAGGCUGACGCAGCGACGCCGCGUGUGGGAUGAAGGCCUUCGGGUUGUAAACCACUGUCGGGGGGGGCGAAUACUCGGCUUCGAACAGGAGACCGAGGGUGACGGUACCUCCAAAGGAAGCACCGGCUAACUCCGUGCCAGCAGCCGCGGUAAUACGGAGGGUGCUAGCGUUGCUCGGAAUGACUGGGCGUAAAGGGCGCGUAGGCGGAUGAUACAGUCAGGCGUGAAAUUCCUGGGCUCAACCUGGGGGCUGCGUUUGAUACGUGUGAUCUGGAGUUCGGAAGAGGGUCGUGGAAUUCCCAGUGUAGAGGUGAAAUGCGUAGAUAUCUGGAGGAACACCGGUGGCGAAGGCGGCAUCCUGGACUACUACUGACGCUGAGUGAGCGAAAGCCAGGGGAGCAAACGGGAUUAGAUACCCCGGUAGUCCUGGCCCUAAACGAUGAAUGCUUGGUGUGACGGGUAUCGAUCCCUGUCGUGCCGAAGCUAACGCAUUAAGCAUUCCGCCUGGGGAGUACGGUCGCAAGGCUGAAACUUAAAGGAAUUGACG
rnacentral:rRNA from 1 species